rnacentral:lncRNA from 1 species
AAACUUACCGGCCGCGGUGCUCUCGGGUACGGUGGCUCUUCCGGCAUGAGUCGCAUUUUGAUGUUUGGCUCCAAUCAACCUGUAGAGAAAAGAACGAUGAUCACAGUGGUAUAAAAUUUGCAUCAAACGGUGGCCGGGAAGGGCCUCAUCGGAGGCAAAAACUGAGGAGGGGCGCGGCGGCACCGCUGGGUUUCGGCUGGGUUUUCCGGCCGUUUGGCCGGUGGUUUGGCUUCGGUUUGGCCAUAGGCGGACUCAGCGUCGAAAAACGAGCAAGGGAGAGAAAAAUUACGUCGAUCGACGGUCGGAAACUU